GUUGUUAGGUUACUUUUCUUGUUUAAUUUUCAAACUCUUAGGAUUCUCCAUCCCGCUAAGUUUGAAAGGUGUUCAUCUUCAUCGAGUGAAUAGAUUCUACAGCUUCUGUUCCUGUCCAUCUUUUGCUAUGGAGAAAUAUAUUGUGAUUCAUGAUCACUAUGGACAUUCCAUUGCAGUCCGAAGAUCUUUGAGACUAAGCAACAAAAAAGAAAAAGGCAAAGUUCAGAAAAGAAGAAGUAAACAGAAGAGACGGCGUUCCAUAAGAGUCCGAAGAUCUCCCAGAUUAAGAAACAAGUA